CACAAUAGGAAGUGGAAGGUCUCUCAUCAUGCGAGUCAUAAGCUCCAGCUGCAAUGUUCUGUCUCAGUGCUCACUACGGAUUGGCUCCUGACUGUCACCUGCUAAAAAUAUAUAACAAUAAGGAAACUGUUUCUAUGUUAGAUACUGUAGGUUAAAGAUAGUCUAUAACAAUAAGGACUGUUUCUAUGUUAGAUACUGUAGGUUAAAGAUAGUCUAUAACAAUAAGGACUGUUUCUAUGUUAGAUACUGUAGGUUAAAGACUGUCUAUAACAAUAAGGACUGUUUCUAUGUUAGAUACUGUAGGUUAAAGAUAGUCUAUAACAAUAAGGACUGUUUCUAUGUUAGAUACUGUAGGUUAAAGACUGUCUAUAACAAUAAGGACUGUUUCUAUGUUAGAUACUGUAGGUUAAAGACUGUCUAUAACAAUAAGGACUGUUUCUAUGUUAGAUACUGUAGGUUAAAGAUAGUCUAUAACAAUAAGGACUGUUUCUAUGUUAGAUACUGUAGGUUAAAGAUAGUCUAUAACAAUAAGGACUGUUUCUAUGUUAGAUACUGUAGGUUAAAGACUGUCUAUAACAAUAAGGACUGUUUCUAUGUUAGAUACUGUAGGUUAAAGACUGUCUAUAACAAUAAGGACUGUUUCUAUGCUAGAUACUGUAGGUUAAAGAUAGUCUAUAACAAUAAGGACUGUUUCUAUGCUAGAUACUGUAGGUUAAAGAUAGUCUAUAACAAUAAGGACUGUUUCUAUGUUAGAUACUGUAGGUUAAAGACUGUCUAUAACAAUAAGGACUGUUUCUAUGUUAGAUACUGUAGGUUAAAGACUGUCUAUAACAAUAAGGACUGUUUCUAUGUUAGAUACUGUAGGUUAAAGACUGUCUAUAACAAUAAGGACUGUUUCUAUUUCUGGUGCAUGUCCAAGAUCGAUAAUCAAUAUGUUGUUUAUACAGAUCAGUCUACACAAUAUUGAUACUAUAUAGUCCCAUAAGAACUGGAGAAAACUCAAAGACUGAUGUCAGUUGAUCGUUGUUGUGAUUCAAUGUUUAAAGAGCCACUUUGUUACUAAUAGCUGAAGAACCAGAGAACACAUAUGGAAUCAUGUUGUAACCAAAAAUACGUUAAACAAAUCAAAAUAUAUUUUAUAUUUUAUGAUUCUUAAAAGUAGCCACCCGUUGCCUUGAUGACAGCUUUGCACACUCUUGGCCUUCUGUCAACCAACUUCAUGAGGUAGUCACCUGGAUUUUAAAAAAAUUAAUAAGUGUGACUUGAUUAAAGUACAUUUGUGGAAUGUAUUUCCUUCUUAGGAAUGGUAUACAGAAUAUAGCCCUAUUUGGUAAAUGACCAAGUCCAUAUUAUGGAAAGAUCAGCUCAAAUAAGCAAAGAGAAACGACAGCCCAUCAUUACUUUAAGACAUGAAGGUCAACCGUACAGAAAAUGAACUUUGAAAGUGCAGUGGCAAAAAUCAUCAAGUGCUCUGAUGAAACUGCCUCAUGAGGACCACGACAAGAAAGGAAGACCCAGAGUUUCCUCUGCUGCAGAGGAUAAGUACAUUAGAGUUCGCUGUACCUCAGUUUGCAGCCUAAAAUAAAUGCUUCACAGAGUUCAAGUAAGAGACACAUCUCAGCAUCAACUGUUCAGAGGAGACUAUUUGAAUCAGGCCUUCGUGGUCGAAUUGAUGCAAAGAAACCACUACUAAAGGACACCAAUAGGAAGAAGAGAUUUGCUUGGGCCAAGAAACACGAGCAAUGGACAUUAGACCGGUGGAAAUCUGUCCUUUGGUCUGAUGAGUCCAAAUUUGAAAUGUUUGGUUCCAACGGCCGUGUCUUCGUGAGAUACAGAGUAGGUGAACGGAUGAUCUCCAAAUGUGUGGUUCCCACCGUGAAGCAUGGAGGUGGUGGUGUGAUGGUGCUUUGCUGGUGACACUGUCAGAGGAGACUGUGUGAAUCAGGCCUUGAUGGUGACACUGUCUGUGAUUUAUUUAGAAUUGAAGGGACACUUAACCAGCAUGGCUACCACAGCAUUCUGCAGCGAUACACCAUCCCAUCUGGUUUGGCCUUAACCAGCAUGGCUACCACAGCAUUCUGCAGCGAUACACCAUCCCAUCUGGUUUGGCCUUAACCAGCAUGGCUACCACAGCAUUCUGCAGCGAUACACCAUCCCAUCUGGUUUGGCCUUAACCAGCAUGGCUACCGUAGCAUUCUGCAGUGAUACACCAUCCCAUCUGGUUUGUGCUUAGCGGGACUAUCAUUUGUUUAUCAACAGGACAAUGACCCAACACACACCUCCAGGCUGUGUAAGGACUAUUUGACCAAGAAGGGGAGUGAUGGAGUGCUACAUCAGAUGACCUGGCCUCCACAAUCACCUGACCUCAACCCAAUUGAGUUGGUUUGGGAUGAGUUGGAACGCAGAGUGAUGGAAAAGCAGCCAACAAGUGCUCAGCAUAUGUGGGAACUCCUUCAAGACUGUUGGAAAAGCAUUCCAGGUGAAGCUGGUUGAGAGAAUGCCAAGAGUGUGCAAAGCUGUCAUCAAGGCAAAGGGUGGCUACUUUGAAGAAUCUCAAAUCUCAAAUAUAUUUGUUUAAAACUUCUUAGGGCUGAGAUCCCGUUAACGGGGUCGAUAUGACAACAGCCAGUGAAAGUGCAGGACGCCAAAUUCAAAACAACAGAAAUCUCAUAUUUAAAUUCCUCAAACGUACAAGUAUCUUAAACCAUUUUGAAAGGCAAUCGUGUUGUUAAUCCCACCAGUGUCCGAUUUUCAAAAAGGCUUUACAGCGAAAGCACCACAAACUAUUAUGUUAGGUCAGAGCCAAGUCACAGAAAAACACAGCCAUUUUUCCAAAGCAAAGAGUGGAGUCACAAAAAUCUGAAAUAGAGAGAGAAUUAAUCAAUAACCUUUGAUGAUCUUCAUCAGAUGACACUCAUAGGACUUCAUGUUAGACAAUACAUUUAUGUUUUGUUCGAUAAAGUUCAUAUUUAUAUCAAAAGAUCUCAGUAUACAUUGGCGCGUUAUGUUCACUAGUUCCAAAAACAUCCGGUGAUUUUGCAGAGAGCCACAUCAAUUUACAGGAAUACUCAUUAUAAAUGUUCAUAGAAAUACAAGUGCUUUACAGCGAAAGCACCGCAAACUAUUAUGUUAGGACAAUCUAUUAUGUUGAAGAAUCUAAAAUAUGAAAUAUAUUUUAAUUUGUUUAACACUUUUUUGGUUACUACAUGAUUCCAUAUGUGUUAUUUCCUAGUGUUGAUGUCUUCAUUAUUAUUCUACAAUGUAGAAAAUAGUAAAAAAUAAAGAAAAACCCUGUAAUGAGUAGGUGUGUCCAAACUGUUGACUGGUGCUGUAUA